rnacentral:lncRNA from 9 species
GUCCCUCUCUAAGUAGACUCAUCAUCUAAUGAGUCCAUCCUCUUCCUUUUUUACAAAGAGGGCCCUGGAGAAGUAAAAGAAAGGCAUGGCGACACCCUCAAGUCCCCGAAAGAGUGAAUGGGACUGUUUGUGACCCAGCUCAUACUACAGCCUGUAAAGAAGAGGCAGAAAUCUGAAGUUCUCAAAUCAAGCCUGGGAAAUGGCUUGACCCAGGGAGUGGAAGCCAGUGACUGUGAUCAUGUUGGAAUCAGAGAUGAAGAGAGGAUGUCUAAGGCCAUCUACUCCUCGUAUUACCCACAUCAAUUCUCUGACGGAUCAUGGAGUUAACUGAAUUCAGCCAUGAGUAGGAGUAAUGAAAACUCAGAGUACAGAAAGACCAUUAUUGAAUAACUACUCCCUGUACCACUAAUACCACUGGCAUCACCAAUAAACCAUACCAGCAGCAUCCCCUGAAACAUUCACAUCAAUAAUCAUGUAAACAAGACAAAAAAAAAAAAGCAAGGCAGAUAAAUAAGGUUAGUGAAAGUUGCUAUAAAAAUAUAAUAAGGUGAUGUGAUCAUAAUUUGGGAUGGGAUAAACAUUACUUUAGCUGGGCUAGUCUUGGGAAAAGCUCUCUUAAUAGGUGAUAACUUGAAGGGUUACAAGGAGCUAUCCAUGAAAUCUUCUGGAGAAGAAUUUUCUAAUAGAGGCUUGGCAUGUGCAAAGACCCUGAGUUGAGUGUAAAUAUAAUGUAUGUGAGAAACAAAUAAAGCCACACCAACAAAGGGAGAAGAUGAGAGUGGGUGAGAACUGGGGUCCUGGCAGACCUGAUAGGCCAUGGUUAUGACUCAGGAUUCAUUCCACUUCCACUGGGCUUUGUUGGAGGAAUUUAAACAAAGAAGAUACAGAACAUGAUUUGCACCUUUUUAAAAAACAUUGACUAGAAUCACUUAUGAUGGAGCAUGAUAAUGUGUGAAAAAAAAGAAUGUACACAUGUAUGGGCAACUGGGUCACCUUGAUGUACAGUAGAAAAAAAAUACUGUAUUGGGGAAAUAAAAAUAAAUAGAAUUUUAAAAAGAAAACACAGUAAAUUAUUCCAAGGGGGAAACAGGGAAGGGCAGUGCCAGUGACCAAUGGGAAAAUAUAAACACUUCUUCAGGAGAUUUGGUCUAUCAUGGCGGGAGGGGUGGUUGAGGCAGCUGACUGCCUGAGGAGUGGAGAAAUUCACAGUAUUUCAGUCCAGGUAGAACGUGUCAAGGGAGCCUUAGGAUGCUUAUUCCUUUAUAUGCUAUGAAGCAUUUGCGCCAUGACAUACCUGUGCCUUGAAUGCAGCAAUGAACACACUACACACACUAAUGACUGUGCCCUUGGAAAACUCCAGAGUAAUAUAUUGAGAGAGUAAGCUAGAAAGAGCAAAUUCCAGCUGCUUGUCUUGAAGGAGCUUUAGAAGGAACUAUGUUUGGGGGGGGGGCGGUCUUACCCACAGAAAGAUCAAAAUCAACAAAGACGGAAGGAUGGGAGAAAGGAAUAAAAAAAGGAAGGAAAAGGAAUAGCAAGAAGGUUAGAAGAGGAAUAGAAGAAGAACCAAACUUUAUGUGAUAGGGGACAUGAUCAAGACCUAGAGCCACAGAUUUAAAAAUUCCUAUCUAACCUUAGAAUAAUGUACCUUAAAGGAAACCCAGGUGACAGUUUGGAAUACUACUAAUAAGAAUUAUCAUUUUACAUGUAUUUUUUAAUAUGAAACACUGUGUUAUGCCAAAUGGGGAAACUGAGAGUCCAUUAAUUUUGUCUUUUUGUCUUUUUAGGGCUGCACCAGUAGCAUGUGGAGGUUCCCAGGCAAGGGGUUCAAUCAGAGCUAUAGCCACUGGCCUACACCAGAGCCACAGCAACACAGGAUCCAAGCUGCAUCCAUGAACUAUAACAAAGCUCACAGCAAUGCUGGAUCCUCCACCCACUGAGCAAGGCCAGGGAUUGAACCCGCAUCCUCAUGGAUGCUAGUCAGGUUCGUUAACCACUGAGCCACGACAGGGAACUCCAGAGCCGUUAAUUUGUAAAUGUAAUGUUUCAAUCCAGAUCUGUCUAAUCCCAAACUAUUUCUCUCUGAAUUAAGUUUGCCUAUUUUUGAACUAUACACGAACAGCAUCACAUAGCAUGAAAUCUUGUGGGCCUGACACAUCUCAACAUUUUCAUGACUUUGCACAUUCCUUUUCAUUCAUAUAUAAUAUUCUGCUUUAUGAGUAUAAUACAUUUCAGGGUUGAUGGACACUUGGGAUAGUCCCAGUUUUAUUAUUUUGAGUCAUGCUGGCAUAAGCAUCUCUGUGUGCAUUUUUUGAUGAGCACGUCCACUUGUUUCUGGUACAUACUUAGCAGCAGAAUUGCUGGAGCA